AUCGUCGCUCAGUCCAUAGGGAAGCCCAGGCCUGGCCCCCAGAGAGUCUCCUGGUGAGGCAGACAUGAGAAGAGACAUCAGCAUGAGGGAUCGAGGCCUCCCCUCCAGUGACUCCAGAAAACUCAACAUGAAUUGUCUACCUCAAAGCCUGGACUAACCCAGUGAUGGUAGAGUUGAGCUGUACUUAGUUCCACUGAAUGGAAAAGGAUCAAGGGCUCACAAUGGACCACAGAUUGAAAUGAAUCAAUAAUGUUAUUCUUGGGAUAAGAAAGUAAAAAUACAAAAGGCAGAGAGGCCUGAGACCUUUUUCUAUGGUUUGUAUUAGUAAGACCCCUUUUAGUAUGGAGCUGAUUAUAAAAUAAAACCUGUCUCAAGAGUGAGACAGAAUUUGGAGGGAAGUGGAAA